GACGAACGCUGGCGGCGUGCUUAACACAUGCCAGCCGAACGGAAAGGCCUGCUUUCCCUUGUGGAUUGCGGGUACUCGAGUGGCGAACGGGUGAGUAACACGUGAGUGAUCUGCCCCCAACUUGGGUAUAAGCCUGGGAAACUGGGUCUAAUUCCCGAUAGGACUGCAGGGUGGUGCCUGUGGUGGAAAACGAUUUUCUAGUGGUUGGGGAUGAGCUCGCGGCCUAUCAGCUUGUUGGUGGGGUAAUGGCCUACCAAGGCGGCGACGGGUAGCCGGCCUGAGAGGGUGGACGGCCACAUUGGGACUGAGAUACGGCCCAGACUCCUACGGGAGGCAGCAGUGGGGAAUAUUGCACAAUGGGCGGAAGCCUGAUGCAGCGACGCCGCGUGGGGGAUGACGGCCUUCGGGUUGUAAACUCCUUUCGACCGCGAGGAAGCCACCUGGUUGGAAGGGUGGUGACGGUAGUGGUAGAAGAAGCACCGGCUAACUACGUG
rnacentral:rRNA from 1 species